GACGAACGCUGGCGGCGUGCUUAACACAUGCGAGUCGAACGGAAAGGCCUGCUUUUGUGGGGUGCUCGGGGGGGGAACGGGGGAGGAACAAGGGAGGAACCUGCCCUUGGCUUUGGGGUAACUUCAGGGAACUGGGGCUAAUACCGGAUAGGAGCUCCUGGUGCCAGGGGGGGGGUGGGAAGUUUCGGCGGGUGGGGAUGGACUCGCGGCUUAUCAGCUUGUUGGUGGGGUAGUGGCUUACCAAGGCUUUGACGGGUAGCCGGCCUGAGAGGGUGACCGGCCACAUUGGGACUGAGAUACGGCCCAGACUCCUACGGGAGGCAGCAGUGGGGAAUAUUGCACAAUGGGCGGAAGCCUGAUGCAGCAACGCCGCGUGCGGGAUGACGGCCUUCGGGUUGUAAACCGCUUUCGCCUGUGACGAAGCGUGAGUGACGGUAAUGGGUAAAGAAGCACCGGCUAACUACGUG
rnacentral:rRNA from 1 species